rnacentral:miRNA from 1 species
GAGUGAAGAUGAGAAUGAGAGGAGAGGAUGAAAGGGAGGAGUAGCAAAAUUGAAAUCCAUUUGAAAUUGUUUUCACUUUUGUUACUCCUCCAUCCCAUCCUCCCCUCUAAUUAUCUCUCUCAAU